rnacentral:rRNA from 1 species
GAAAGCUUGCUUUCCUUGAUGACGACUGGCGCACGGGUGAGUAACGCGUAUCCAACCUUCCCAUAACUACGGGAUAACCCGUUGAAAGACGGCCUAAUACCGUAUGAUAUCGUUUGCUGACAUCAAAUAACGAUUAAAGGUUUAGCGGUUAUGGAUGGGGACGCGUCUGAUUAGCUUGUUGGCGGGGUAACGGCCCACCAAGGCUACGAUCAGUAGGGGUUCUGAGAGGAAGGUCCCCCACAUUGGAACUGAGACACGGUCCAAACUCCUACGGGAGGCAGCAGUGAGGAAUAUUGGUCAAUGGGCGAGAGCCUGAACCAGCCAAGUAGCGUGCAGGAUGACGGCCCUAUGGGUUGUAAACUGCUUUUAUGUGGGGAUAAAGUGCGUGACGUGUCAUGCAUUGCAGGUACCACAUGAAUAAGGACCGGCUAAUUCCGUGCCAGCAGCCGCGGUAAUACGGAAGGUCCGGGCGUUAUCCGGAUUUAUUGGGUUUAAAGGGAGCGUAGGCUGUCUAUUAAGCGUGUUGUGAAAUUUACCGGCUCAACCGGUGGCUUGCAGCGCGAACUGGUCGACUUGAGUAUGCAGGAAGUAGGCGGAAUUCAUGGUGUAGCGGUGAAAUGCUUAGAUAUCAUGACGAACUCCGAUUGCGCAGGCAGCUUACUGUAGCAUAACUGACGCUGAUGCUCGAAAGUGCGGGUAUCAAACAGGAUUAGAUACCCUGGUAGUCCGCACGGUAAACGAUGGAUGCUCGCUAUUCGUCCUAUUUGGAUGAGUGGCCAAGUGAAAACAUUAAGCAUCCCACCUGGGGA